rnacentral:rRNA from 1 species
UCGGGAAUUUUGGGCAAUGGGCGAAAGCCUGACCCAGCAACGCCGCGUGAAGGAUGAAGUAUUUCGGUAUGUAAACUUCGAAAGAAUAGGAAGAAUAAAUGACGGUACUAUUUAUAAGGUCCGGCUAACUACGUGCCAGCAGCCGCGGUAAUACGUAGGGACCAAGCGUUGUUCGGAUUUACUGGGCGUAAAGGGCGCGUAGGCGGCUUGACAAGUCACUUGUGAAAUCUCUGGGCUUAACCCAGAACGGCCAAGUGAAACUGUCAUGCUAGAGUGCAGAAGGGGCAAUCGGAAUUCUUGGUGUAGCGGUGAAAUGUGUAGAUAUCAAGAGGAACACCUGAGGUGAAGACGGGUUGCUGGGCUGACACUGACGCUGAGGCGCGAAAGCCAGGGGAGCAAACGGGAUUAGAUACCCACGUAGUCCCUGAGCGGGCUGGCAAGGCGCAU